UUUAAUAAUUUCAGCUGUGAACAUUCUUUUUUUUAAACAUUUUAUUUACAUUUUAGUUUUCGGCAGACACAACAUCUUUGUUUGUAUGUGGUGCUGAGGAUCGAACCCAGGGCGCACCCAUGCCAGGUGAGCGAGCUACGGCUUGAGCCACAUCCCCAGCCCCUCAGCUGUGAACAUUCUUGCAUUGUCUCAUACAUGAGCUUUUGGGGGACAUCUCAUAUCUAAACCAUAACAGUCUUAUUAAGUUGCUGAGGCUGGCCUUGAAUUUGUAAUACUCCUGCCUCAGCCUCCCAAACUGGGAGGGAUUACAGGUGAAUGCCACCACAUCUGGCUUCCCUUAUUACUUUUCAAAAGGUUAUUUGGAAAAUUAGUACUUAUCUUUCUCCAAUUUUAGUUUAGUACUACUUCUAAAAAAGUAGAGGUUUGUGUGUCUGUCUUCCCCUCUUUGCUUUGGGCAAUUUGUAAUUUUGAUAUAAUUUUAAACUGAUAGAAAAGUUCCAAGGAUAAUACAAGAAAUUCCCAGCGAGAGGGAGAAAUGACUAGAAAUUUUUUAUCCACAAGAAUCAGUUCAAUUCACUAUUUGCUUUAUAAAUUUUUUCUCUGCAUAUAAAUAUUUAAAUAUUUGUAUACUAUAUAUAAAUGAUUUUCUGACCUUUUUGAGAUUGUAUUGGACGCAUCAUGCCCUUUAAACCCUAAACAUAUCAGUGUUUAUUUCCUGAAGAACAAAGACACUUCCAUACAUGACCACAAUAUGACCACAAUACAAUUAGCAAACUCAGGACAUUUAACAUUGUAAUAGUAUUAUCUAAUCUAUAAUCCAUAUUUCAAUCAAUCAGCUGUGCUUACAUAUUUUUCCCUGUCCAGGAUCUAAUCCAGGAUUCUGUAUGGCACUUAGUCAUCACAACUCUUUAGCCUUCUUUAAAUUGGAAGAGUUUCUUAGUCUUUUUUGACCUUGACAUUGCUUAUGAUAUAGACCAGCUAUUUGUAAUUGUCCUUCGAUGUAUGUUUCCUCCAUUCUUUCUUCUCUCUGCAAAUGUAUACAUACAUAUUUUAUAAAUUAAGAUUAUAGUAGCAAUAUAUUUUUAAACUUUUCAUUGAACUCUAACACAAACACAGAAAAGUGAGCAGAUCAUAAAUGAUCAGAUCAGCAAUAUUGAACCCAUGUGUUACUAGGACCCAGAAUAAGGGACAAACACAAUCUUCCCCAAUAAGCCUCCCUGUGCCACCUGCCAGUCAUAAACCCCCCACCCAUGGGUAACCAUUAUCUUGACUUUUAAAACAGACAUUAGUUUUGCCUAAUUUUGUGCUCUAUAAAUGGAUUAAUAACACAAGCAAUACUAUUUUUGAAUCUGGCUUUUUCACCUGAAAUGUUGUGAAUACUUUUUUGUGUCAUUGAAGAAUCCUUUCUAGCAUGAUAUUUAAUGGCUUCAGAAUAAUUUGUUCAAAAGGCACACCAUAAUUUAUUUAUCUGGGCUGUGCCCUGAGGUUGGGCAUGUAGCUUUCUUUCCAUUUUUUCUAUAUUAUAAACCACACUGCAGUAGACACACUUCAAAGCAAGCACUGCCAAGUGACCAAAGCAAGGUCUCAAAGCUGCUCUGCUGGGAUCUGAGUCCUGGAUCUCACAAUGUCUAGUCAGUGACCUAAUGCAAACCCCAUAGAGGGUCGUGACUUCCUUGCCUCUGUGAUAAUAGCACUCAUGCCAUCUGUUGUUGUUAGGGUCUAAUUGUGUUAAUAAAAUAUAGAGUUUAAAAUAACACUUGGCACAAAGAAAAUGCUCAAUAAAUAUUAACUCCUGUUAUUUGUCAUUGAGAACAUUUUCUAUAAGUUAAAAAAAAAAGUAUGUUAAAGUGAUCCUAAAGGUGAUCCUUUUGCUGUUGUUGGAGUUGUUAGUUAUUUCCUUGCUCUUUGUUUUGUUUUGUUUGGGGUAGCGCAUUAACAUGAGAAAGCCCUAGAUUGGAAGGAUAAAAAUCAGAGCCGCAGCUUUAACUUGGUCCAGAAGCUUCCGUGUGAUCUUUGAAAAGCCUCCUGAGGUCUCUGAGCCCUGAUUUCUUCAUACUGUGAUAACUACUGGAUACUGUACAGUACAAGAUCUAUGACACUGGCUUUGGGGGUCACACAAAACUAAGUCUCAAUUCUGACCCUGCUGCUCACCUUCCUAAGACUUGGGCAAAUUAUUUAAGCUCUCUGAGGCAAAGCAGAGACAACCAGUCCCACUCAGAAGGUUGCUGUGAGGGCAUAAAGGAACCCCCUGCAGAGGCCCACUGCAGGGAUACUCAUGACUGCUGUUAUUGAUGUUAUCAAUCCUUACUCUGAAUCAAAGUAUGAAGAAAUGACAAACUCUCAAGGGCUGUGUGUAAUUACUGAAGCUAAGAGUAUGGGCCUCUAAAUAGGGGAUCUUCUGCAAAUAGAGGCCAGUCAGCAUGAAACAGCAAACAAUUAAGAGGGCUUGGGGGAAGGACAUAUAUAAGAGGCCAAAUGACUUCAAGUUGGAGCAGCCCUGCUUCUCAGAUUUGCCUGAUUACAGCACUCACCUGGAGAGUUUUUAAAAAUAUCUGCUCCCUGGGGUGACCAGAAGAGUCAGAUGUGGAAAUAAUAUCAUCAUGCACUGAGCAUCUAGGUGGCAAGCCACAAGCUCAGCAUACUGCCACAAUAUUUAUUUAAUUGUCACGGCAAUCCUAUGAGACAGGGAUUAUUGUACCAAUUCUACAGAUGAGUUAAACUGAAGCUCAAAGAGUUUAAUGAUUUGCCCAUGGUCAUACAUAGCAAGAGCUCUAGGUGUCUCUGAUGUCAAAAGUCUUAAGCUUGAUCCUAAACUCACCGGUCAGAACAUUCAGCUCGGUCAUUAUGAAUAUGAUCAUCCAUCAUGCAUAUGAUAUCAUUGUACUCAGCAAUUGAAACUUCAGAAUCUUUUUCUUCUUUUUUGUUGGUGCUGGGGAUCAAACAAAGGGCUUCAUGCAUGCUAGGCAAGCACUCUGCUACCUAGCUACACCCCUAGUCCCAAAGCACUUUUAAAAAAGAGCUUUAGAGGCUGAGGCAGGAGAAUCACAAGUUCAAGGCCAACUUCCCAACUUAAGGAGACCCUGUCUCAAAGAAAUAUAAAAGAGCUGGAGAGUAGCUCAGCAGUAGAAUGCCCCUGGGUUCAAUGCUCAAUACUGCAAUAAAAAAUAAAAUAACAACACCUUUAAUGAGGUAUGAUUUACACAUCAUAAACUUUACCUACUUAAGCAUGCAAUUCAAUGUUUUGGUGGUGCUGGGAAUUGAACCUAGGGCUUUGUGCCUGGUAGGCAAGCACUCUACCAACUGAGUUAUGUCCUCAGUUCUUCAAUGGUUUCUUUUUGCUUUUUGAUACCAGGGAUUGAACUCAGGGGUGCUUCACAAUUGAGCCACAUCCCCAGCCCUUUUUUAUUUUUUAUUUUGAGACAGGGUCUCACCAAGUUGCUUAGGGCCUUGCUAAGUUACUGAGGUUCAACCUAUUAUCUGUCGCCAACAAUUUGUUUAAUCUAGACAUUUCGUGUAAACAGAUUCCUACAAUAUGUGGCCCUUUCUGUCUGGCUUCUUUCACUUAGUGUAAUGUUUACAAGAUUCACCCACAUUGUCCAUGUAUCGGUACUUCAUUCCUUUUUAUAGUCAAACACUAUUCCACUGAACAUCUACAUACAUUUUACUCGUCCAUUCAUCGGCUGCUGUUUAUAUUGUUGUGAACAUUCGUGUACAAGUUUUUGUGAGGAUGUUUUCAUUGCUCUUGGGUAUGUGCCCAGGAGUGAAAUUGCAGGAUCAUAUGGCAUCUCUGCGUUUAACCAUUUGGGGGAAAUGUCAGGCUGUGUUUCUAAAAGCUGCUGAGCCAUUUUACAUCCCCAAAAGCUACAUAUGAGGGUUCCUUUGAGAGUCUUUUUGUAAAAACUCACAGCAAUAAUCCUCAUAACAACCCCAGAAACAGACAUCAUUAUUUAUCCUUCCAGACAAGCACAAAUGAGGGCAGAGGGAGGACGUGACUUCUCAGAGGAUACCAGCUAUGAGGGCUGGGGCUCCAACCCUGAGACUGCCCUCUUUCCUGCAGAAAGCUAGAAUUUGUAGCUAAAAUAGUAGGGUUUAGGUCUUUAGGAGAUGAUGGGGCAAUGGGUGGGGAGGAUAAAUCUGCUGAUCAGAGUCUUACGUGGAGAUGGAAUCUUCUAGUUUUAGGGGUGAGAGAUCAAAGCCAUUUCUGUUUUUGUAUUAUUGGGUGACAGCCGAAGCCAGGUUUUUACUAAUUAAUGAUGACCAGAGUGCUCUGACAAGAUGGAGUGCUCGGCAAACGCCAGCCAUGAAUUAUUCACAGCCAGGCCUUCUCGAAACUGGAUGGGAGGAAGCUGCCCAGGAAGAGAGGAAAGCUAAGCCCUCGCUCCCUCCUCCCCUAGUUUGCAUGAACCUGAGCAGACUCCACAGGACUCAGUUUCUCAGUCCACAAAAUGGGGCCAGGUGUGAGUUCUCAUUCCUAUAGGUCACUAGGCAAGGACAUGGCCAACAGGGGCUGGUGACCUGGCUCCGAUUACCAUCUGCCCUGUAGUCAGCACAUACCCAAGCUGCCCCUACCAGCCCAACAAUAAUAACAAAUCACUAAAUUAACACCAACACAUAGUAACCAGAGAGCAGAAUUUUAGGCAUUGCAGGCAUAUAGUUAACAAUGCUCAGUGUUGUCACUAUAAUACAAAAGAAUCCAUACACAAUGUAUAAACGAAUGAAAGUAGCUGCCACAGAACUCUGUGUAAACUGAAUUUGAAUUCUAUGUAAUCUUUAUGUGUUACAAUACAUUAUUCUUCUACUUUUUUUUCCUAGCCAUUUAAAAAUGCAGAAACCAUUUUUAGCUCCUGGAAUGUAUAAAAACAGAUAUUGCCUCAAAAUGUUAAACAUAAUUACUAUCUGACCCAGCAACUCCAUUCCUAAGUAUAUACCUAAAAGAAAUGAAAAUAUGCGUCUAAGCAAAAAUUGGUACAUGAAAGUUUAUAACAGCACUAUUCAGAAUAGCCAAAAAAGUAGAAGAAAAACACAAAUGUUCAUUAAUUGAUGAAUGGAUAAACCAAAUGGUGUAUAUCCAUACAAUGGACUAUUAUUCAACUAUAAAAAGGAAUAAAAAUUUUAUAUAUGCUACAAAGUGAAUGAGCCUUGAAAACAUUACACUAAUGAAAGAAGCCAGUCAAGAGGCAGUAUAUAGUAAGCUUUCAUUUGUGAAGAAUGUCCAGAAUUAGAAAGUCUGUAGAGACAUAAAGUAGAUGAGAAACCCUAUAUUCCUUAGUGACUGGGGGGUGAUCACUAAGGAAUAUAGGGUUUCUUUGGAAUAUAAAAAUGUCCUGAAAUUGCUUGUGGUGAUAGAGGACUAUACUAUAUGUUAGUAUACUAUGACUAUACUAUAUGUUAGUAUACUGAGAGUAUACUAACACCUGCUGAAUUGCACACUUCAGGUGUGCUACAAGAAUUAUACCUGAACAGAACUAUUAAAAAGUAACAACAGGGCUGGGGUUGUGGCUCAGUGGUCGAGUGCUUGCCUAGCAUGUGUGAGGCACUGGGUUCGAUUCUUAGCACCACAUAAAAAUAAAUAAACAAAAUAAUGGUCCAUUGACAACUAAAAAAUAUUUUUUUAAAAAAAGUAACAAUAGCAGGCGUGCUAUGGUUUAGUGAUUCCCUCGGUCAUCUGUGUGACUUUGGGCACCUCUGUCCUCAGUUUCUUCACCUGGGAAAUGGUCACAACAGUACUGGCUCAUGAAGUUGUGUGAAAACUGAGUGGCUUUAAAUCACUAAAAAAUAGUUUAUAGGAGUUAGGCACCCAAAAGAUAUCCAAGCUGGCUGUAAUGGUGCAUGCCUGUAAUCCCAGCAGCUUGAGAGGCUGAGGCAGGUGGAUUGCAAAUUUGAGGUCAGUCUCAGCAAUGUAGAGAGGUCCUGUCUCAAAAAAAAAAAAAAAAAAAAAAAAAAAAAAAGUCAAAAACAAUAUCCACAUUCAUUAGUUACUAAGGAAAUACAAACUAAAACAGGGAGACAUCAAUUCACAAGAUUGGCAAAAAUUAGGAAGUUGGGUAACACCAAGUGUUGGUUGAGUGUGAGGAAGGAGGAGCUCCCGUGACACACUGGGGAGGGUAGUGCCAUACCAUGAGACCUAGCAAUCCACUCCGGGGCACAUAUGCCAGAACCUUCCCACACAGCCAAGAGUGUUCACUGAAGCUAUUGUCUAUGGUAGUGGAGGAUGGCAGAUAACUGGAUGCCCCUCACAGGACAAUAGCUAUGCAAAUACGGCAAAAGCACUUUAUGGAAUGAUUAUGUAGCUGCUCAUAACAAUGAGAUAUGUCAGCGAUCAAUCAACUAAAGCCUGUAUGCUAAAUUUGACACACCCCCUGUUUUUUCACAACUUGGCUCAUGAUCUGAGGAUGAUUUUUACAUUUUUAAAUGGUCAGGGGUGGGGAAUCCUAAAAUUAUUUUGUGACACAUGAAAAUUAUAUGAAAUUCAAAUUUCAACACCCACAAAAUUAUAUUAGAACACUAACAUGUUCCUUCCCUUUAUUGUCUGCAGCUGCUUUUAUGUUCUGUUGUUGCAACAGAGACCAUGUGGCCUGCAAAGUCUAAAAUAUGUGCUAUCUAGCUCUUUACAGUAGACCUCUGCUGAUUCCUGAGUUACACAAACAUGCAGAGACUGGGAUAGGUCUACAAGCUGUACAGCUGAAUGAAAAAAUAAAUGUAUCUAUUAUUUGUUGCCCUGUAACACAUUAUCCCCAAAUACAAUGACUUAAAAUAAAAACAAACAUUUCUCAUUUAGUUUCUAUGAGUCAGGAAAUCGGGAGUGGCUUGACUGGAUGGUUCUAGCCUGGCAUCUAUCAGAGGUUGUAGUUAAAAUGUCUCAGGCUAGAGAAUUCACCUAUGUGGUUGCCAAGUGCUUGCUGAUGGUGGGAGGCCUCACUUCCUCUUAGACCUCUCCAGAGGGCUGCUGGAGUGUCCUUGUGACAUGGCAGCUGGCUUUCCCUAGUGUGGCUGAUCCAAGAGAGAACAGGAGAUUACGAUGUCUUUUACCACCUAGACCUGGAAAAAUCACAUACCACUAUCCCUGCAAUAGCCCACAGGUUGAUUAGGAUCAGCUGUGUUCACUAUAGGACUGGUGUCUUAGCCUGCUUGGGCUGCCAUAACAAAAUCUCAUAGACAGGGUGUUUUGGAGACUUACUGUUUUGGAGACUGGGAAGUUCAAAAAUCAGUGAGGUAGGUUUCAUUCUCAGGCUUCUUGGCCUGUAGGAGGCCACCAUCUCACUGUGUGCUCGCACAGCCUCUCCCUGGUGCAUGCAUGGGGAAAGUGAACCCUUGAAUCUCUUCCUUUAAAGGCUCUAAUUGCAUCAUUGGAUCCUAUCCCCAUGAACUCUUCUAAAACCUAAUCACUUCCCAAAGGCUCCGCUUCCAAACAGCAUCACACUGGGGAUUAGGGCUCUGAAUUUUGUGGACAUAAACAUUUAAUCCAUCACAGAAGAGACUACUCAAAGAUUUGACUACCAGGAGAUCUACCCAGCGUGUGGGGGGCAUCUGGGAGGCUGGCUACCGCAGUAAGAGACAGAAUCUGAUCUAUAGCAAGAUGCCUCUUAAUUAAAAAAGUAAAAUCAGCUGGGUGCAGUGCACAUGCCUGUAAUCUCGGUGGCUCGGGAGACUAAGGCAGGAGGAUUACGAAUUCAAAGCCAGCCUCAGCAACUUAGUGAGGCCCCAAGCAACUCAGCAAGACCCUGACUCUAAGUAAAAUAUAUAUUAAAAAAAAGGGCUGGGGAUGUGGCUCAGUGGUUUAGUGCCUCUUAGUUCAAUCCCUGGUACCAAAAAAAAAAAAAAGACUCACAUUUAUACAUUUAUACAAAACAAUACUUCAUGCACUGGGGUUGUGGCUCAGCAAUAAAGCGCCCGCCUAGCAUGUGCGAGGCGCUAGGUUCGAUUCUCAGCACCGAAUAAAAGUAAAUAAAAAUAAAGGUAUUGUGUACAACUACAACUAAAAAAAUUUUUUUAAACCCAAUAAUUUGCAUUUGACAAAACUGCAUACAAACUAGGUCUUCAUUAAAUAGAGUGGAGGAGGAGGGAAAUGGGAAGGAGAGAUAAGGAUAAAAAGAAAAGAAUGAAUGAGUGAAUAUAUGAAGCCAGGGAGGAGCCUGGCACAAACUAAUUAUAAGAGUGGACUGUGAGCCCGAUGAGGUGGCACAUGCCUGUCAUUCCAGCUACUUAGAGGCCAAGGCAGGAGAUCACAAUUUCCAGGCCAGCUUGGGCAAUAGAGACCCUGUCUCAAAAUAAAAAAAUAAAAAGAGGUGGGGAUGGAGCUCAGUGUAGAGUGUAGAAUAUCCCUGGGUUCAAUCCCCAGUAUUAUAAAAAGUAACAACCAAAAAACAAAGGCUGUGAACUAUACCCAAGUUAUUUCCAGUCCCCAACACACACACACACACACACACACACACACACAAGCACGCGCACACACACGCACACAGAGAAAAUGGGUUCCUUGUCCAAGAUCACAAAAAAUUUUGCCCAGUCUCCCUAGCUGAGCUGGCUUUCUCUGUCUGGCGCAUUCUCAUUAAAUUCAUGGUUGACCUGCAGAAUCAGGUCCUGAGGAGGUUUUUGCCUGUGGGAAGGGGCGUGGGGACCAGCAGAACCAGUCUGGGAAGAAAAUGGUCAGUUAUUACCCAAACAGUGCUGGUGGGUUGCCCACCCUCCUGCCAGCCUUCUUCCCUCUCUGGAGACAAAGGGCUCUCAGAAUGCAGAGCCCUGCAAAUGCCCCCAGGUCUAGCCUGCUGAUAAUGAGAGAAUCAAAACUCUUAUUUCUUUAAAAAUACAUCAUAUUACUUUAGGCCUGGUGACUUGUUGAUCUUUUAAUUCUCAUAAGCUCUUCCGGGUAAGGAUUGUUAUUUCAAUACACCCAGAGAAGUGAGUUGAAUUGUUUGGAACUGUGUUAUAUCCCUGUGCAGCCAUUCAUUCAUUCAGCUAAUACUCAUUGGACACCUACUGUGCGCUAGUACAGUAGUGGGGAUAUGGCUGUGAACAGAACUAUUAAAGCCCUUGUCUUCAAAAGUGAUAGGAGGAAUGGGAAUAGACACCAGGAGAAGUGAAAACAGAUAUCAGAUGGUAAACAUCUGAAAGUCACUGUAGUUAUUAGUGGUGGUCAGGGAAGACUUGCAUUUGAACUGAGACCUGAAGGUUGUGGUGGCAGCCCAGUGGAGAGGAAGGAGCAGGUGAAAAAGAAUAGGCUUGGCAUGUUUAAGAUUAGGGAAUGAGGUGGAACCCGGAUCCGGUAGGUCUUUGUAUCUACUUAUGAAAGGAGUUUGGAAUUUAUUCUAUCAGAUGGAAGUGGCUCUAUCAUUAUUAGCUGUAUGAUCUCAAGUACAUUAUUUCACUCCUCUGAGUCCUGUAAAGUGGGGUUAAUAAUAAUAAUUAAUUCACUGAUAGGCACCUUCUGAAAUGGCCCUAAUAAUCAUGUGCUCUGUUAUUCACAUUCUAGAAAUGUGGGCUGGACUUAGUGACUCCCUCCUCACUAACAUGACAUCACAAAGGUGAUAGUGUAUUCAUUUCCUAUUGUUACUGUAACAAAUUACCACAAUCUUAGUGGUUUAAGGCAACACAAAUGUAAUAUUUUGCUGUUCUGGGGACCAGACAUCUAAAUGGGUCCUACUGAGUAGAAAUUAAGGUGCCAGCAGAGUUGUGUUCCUUUGGGAGGCUCCUGGGGAAAAUCUUGGCUGUUCAGGCUUCUAGUGGCUGCCUGCAUUCCUUGUCACGUGAUCUCUUCCUCCUACUUCAAAGUGCGUCACUCCAACCUCCAUUCCCAUCUCUACAGCUCCCUUUUUAACUGCUGGUUCUCUGACUGUCCUGGGUUGACUCUCUGUCCUGGGCUGACUCUCUGACUCUCACCCAGCUAAGCAACCUCCAGAUUCUCUGACUGUCCUGGGCUCUUCCUUUUUUCCCCUUAAAAGAAUGCUUUUGGUUACACUGGGCCACCUGGGCAAUUCAUGACACUGUUCCCAUUUCAAAAUCCUGAGUCACACCUGCAAGUCCUUUCGUGUAGAGUAGCAUAUUCACAGGUUCUGGGGAGUAGGACAUGGACAUCUUGGGGGUCAUUGUUCUGUAACAAUAUACACAUAUCAUUUUUGUGAUUAGGUAAUAAAAGGAUUGUGGCUUAUGUUUUGGGUGUUCUCUCUUUCUUUUCCUCUCACUCAUCACUUCAGGGAAAACCAGCUGUCGUGAUGUGAGGCAGCUUUGUGGGGAAUCCCUUGUGACAGCCAAUAGCCAGUGAGGAGCUGAGGUCUGUCAACAAAAUGUGAAUGAACUUGGAACCGGGUUCUGCAGCUCCAGAGAGCCUAGAGACAGCUACAGCUCUGGUCAACAGUUGGAUCACAGCCUCAUGGAACAAACGGCCUGAAUCAUCCAGUUAAGCAACCUCCAGAUUCAUGAGCCCCAAGAAAGAGAGUAAAUGUUUGUGGUAAUUUGCAAUGCAAUAAUAGAUGAUAAAUGCAUUCAUUCAAUAAAUAUGUAUUAAGUGCCAAUACAAUGUGUCAUGUUUUCUUUGACAUGUUAGA
rnacentral:lncRNA from 1 species